rnacentral:lncRNA from 1 species
CGAAGUGUACUUGGUAGCAUAAAACUCGAGCCAAAAGUUACAAAAUGAGCUUUCUUUCUAUUAUACGUUUCAGUAUACAAGCUAUGAACAUUCGGCAUCAUUUACCUAAACAGUGUAACACUCUGAACUAGAACAAGAUCAGUCCUUUUGAGUAUCAAAACUUCCAAAUAGUUCAAUAUACAAAAGUUUAACUUCUUUUUAAUGUAAUAUUGUUCAAUACUGUCUAAUCUACCUAAUGCAAAUUACCUUGCACUUGUGGUGGACUACUCAAAUGUCAACUCUUUAUUCUUGAUAGUCAUGCCAGCAGAUCAGCAAAACUGUACAUCUCCAUAUGAUAUAAAGGCGAGCCUUCUGCUUUCGAAUAUGCUUUGAACACCAGAGUUUCGUGCUCCUCAAUGAAAACAAACUUGCAGCCAUGUCUAUUUAAGCAAAAUGUGUUUAUUGUGUUCUUUCAAAAGUUGGGUCUUGG